rnacentral:lncRNA from 1 species
AAAAAAAAAGAGAACAUUUGGAAGUGGAGAGUGAGAGACCUUGAACCUUUUCAUUAAUUUGCUGCUCUCUGGUCAUGAAAUAUUCCAAGAUCACUAGACAUCUGAACCAAAUAGUGUAGUGCAUGUUGACAUUUUUCUCUGAUUGAAUCUAAGAUUUUUCUGAAUUAGCUUUAUUUUAUUGGGAUGCUUAGGAUAUAAGUUAUGGACAUAGGGUCCUUUGGGUGCAGUUUCUGCCACAAAAUGCGAUGUAGAUGGUAAAACUUGACUGCUCAUAUUCAUGCUUCCUCUUUGAGUUGAUUUGGUGUUAUCUAUGUUUUGUUUUUUUUUCUUUUGUCUGUAUUAUGGUGUUUUGAAGUUUAACCUCUUCCUUUCCUUUUUUGGGUACAACAACAACAUACCCAGUGUAGUCCCACAAAGUGUGGUCUGAGGAGUGUAGACCUUCCCGUUUUUGGGUAAGAAAAGAAAAACUGUCGGUCAAUUAGGAUGGCGAGGACUAUAGUUUGUGUGUCUUCUUCUUUUCUGGAUUCAGAGUGAUCCUUCUGUUCUGGAGCAUAAAUGUAGAUAUGGGCCUCAAUGUGGUCAUUGCCCUAAAUUUCCUUUUUCCUUGCUCACAUUGUACACCUAUGUGAAAAAAAAUCAUUUCUUUCCUGUGAACUGCUGGUAUGUAACUAAUAGUGUUAUUAAUUCAGCAAAUACUGCAACUUUUAUUUUUUACUGCUGCUGGGCUUGGGGAAAAGCACAACUAUUCCCAGAGUCACAACUUCUCCCAUCAAUUGUGCUAUGAAUCCAUGUAUACAGUACCUUUCACUGAAUUCUGUACCUGGAAUGUUGACAUUCAUGUUCUAUUUGACUUCCAGAUUUCUUUCUAUGUUAAUCUCCUUGAAGUUGUUAUCCUAAACUGAUGAGAGGACCUCAGUCGAUUAUAUACUGGUUCCUGUGUGAAACAAAAAUAUGAUUGCGUUCUCUUAAAACAUUACUAAAUCAACUUAAUCCUG